UUUGAUCCUGGCUCAGGACGAACGCUGGCGGCGUGCCUAACACAUGCAAGUCGAGCGGAGAACUUCGGUUCUUAGCGGCGGACGGGUGAGUAACACGUGGGUAACCUGCCUUGUAGAGGGGGAUAGCCUUCCGAAAGGAAGAUUAAUACCGCAUAACAUUAUUUUCUCGCAUGAGAGAAUAAUUAAAGGAGUAAUCCGCUACAAGAUGGACCCGCGGCGCAUUAGCUAGUUGGUGAGGUAACGGCUCACCAAGGCGACGAUGCGUAGCCGGCCUGAGAGGGUGAACGGCCACAUUGGAACUGAGACACGGUCCAGACUCCUACGGGAGGCAGCAGUGGGGAAUAUUGCACAAUGGGCGAAAGCCUGAUGCAGCAACGCCGCGUGAGUGAUGAAGGCCUUCGGGGUUGUAAAGCUCUGUCUUCUGGGACCGAUAAUGACGGUACCAGAGGAGGAAGCCACGGCUAACUACGUGCCAGCAGCCGCGGUAAUACGUAGGUGGCAAGCGUUGUCCGGAUUUACUGGGCGUAAAGGAUGCGUAGGCGGAUACUUAAGUCAGAUGUGAAAAUCCCGAGCUUAACUUGGGAACUGCAUUUGAAACUGGGUAUCUAGAGUGGGGGAGAGGAAAGUGGAAUUCCUAGUGUAGCGGUGAAAUGCGUAGAGAUUAGGAAGAACACCAGUGGCGAAGGCGACUUUCUGGACCAUAACUGACGCUGAGGCAUGAAAGCGUGGGGAGCAAGCAGGAUUAGAUACCCUGGUAGUCCACGCCGUAAACGAUGAAUACUGGGUGUGGGGGUUAUCAUGACCUCCGUGCCGCAGUUAACACAAUAAGUAUUUCCGCGUGGGGAGUACGGUCGCAAGAUUAAAACUCAAAGGAAUUGACGGGGGCCCGCACAAGCAGCGGAGCAUGUGGUUUAAUUCGAAGCAACGCGAAGAACCUUACCUAGACUNNACGUCUCCUGAAUUACUCGUAACGGAGG
rnacentral:rRNA from 1 species